CCGAAAGGUUCUUAAAUCAUCCAACACACAUGGCGGGGUUUCCUAUGGGCUGGCGUAGAAUCCGCUUGACGAUGGAUCCAAAAUGGGUCGAAGGGAAAAUUUUGGGUCAAGUCUAGUUCCAGGCGAUUGGCCCAACAUUGAAUGGGAAAAAUCAUUAGGCUAUGAAAUUUCCUUCCAAUAAAGACAAAUCACCGAUAGAAAAGAGAGGCCAAGAUGUUCGUGUUCCCAAUCUGGAAAAAAUAAUGGGAGAAAAUACUGGUCCGCAACCGAAUGGAAUGGUUGGAGGAGAAGCGGGUGAGAACACUGGCUAAGAACCUUAUCCUUUGGUAGCGAAUGAUGAACCAAGGUUUUCGGUUACGAUAGUGAUAGGAGAAAUACUAUAUCGUCUGUAGUGCGACAUUGGAGAGAGUUCAAAAAUGAUGGACGAGGCAGUUGAGGUUGAUGGUUGUAGUGACGAAUCGUUAGAGGAUGCUAGUACAGCUUGAACCAGUGGGGCCAAUGUUCACAUGGAAUAGAGGGUAGUUGUUUCAGAGACUUGAUCGUUCAAUUUGCAAUAAGGAAUGGUAGAAUUUUGCGCCAAACACCAUCGUGCGACAUCCUUUUAAAUUGAAAUCUGAUCACCGACCCUUAUUGGUCUUAACUAAUUCGGGAAGGCUAGUGGAUGGAGACCAUCAAAAGGCAUUUUAGGAUGAUAGUGGAUGCUAUGUCGCAACACGGGAGGAUUGAUGUCGCAACGUAGAGAACAAAAUUAAGAAAACUCAAAUCUGCAUUCGAUGUUGCGGCACAGACUGAGGAUGUCGCGACAUACCCCCGAAGAUGGCUACAACAGAGAAUAUUGGUUUCUAUGUCACGACAUACUCAUAAUCAGAUUUGAUUUAUUCUUCCUUUUUAUUCUUUUGAAAUUUUGUCUUUUUAUGCUAUUUUAUUUUCAUUAUUAUAAAACCCCAAAAAUCCUUUUUUUUAUAUUCUUCAUACUAUAACUAGAUAUAAAAGUAUUAAUUAAUUCUUUUAAUAUUUAGGUUAGAAUUGAUCUAGCGCUCACCUCCCUUUGUAUGAUCCUUGGAGUACUUACCCACUCCGUUGUAAAACUAUAUUCUUUAACGCCCAAAAAAAUUGGGCUUAGGAGAGUUAGACUUUGAGUCAGGAUUCGGAUAGAAGAAAACCCGAAUAUUUAGAAGUUUUGAAUAUUACUAGUGUUUAAAAAUAUAUAUAUUGAUAAAAUAUUUAUGUUAGUACUAAUAUUUUAAUUUUUAUGAAAAUUAUUAUCAUUAUAAUUAUUAGAUACAAAUAUAUUUAUAAAAUUAUUGUUGUUAAUUUAGUGUUUAAAUUAACAUAUUAUUAGAAAAUUUUACAGUAUCUAUUUUUAUUGAUUUAUGGAAAUUAUAAUUAUUAUUAUUAGGAAAAAUAUAUAUUAUCGUAUUUGAAAUUUUCAUUAUUAUAGUUAUUAUUAUUAUUAUUUUAGUUUUUAAAUAAAAUAUGAAUGGCUUAUAGUAUGGGAAAAAGUCCAGGCUCGGCCCAUAGCUUUAGCGAAAUUUUCAAAUUUUGCCUCUUAAGAGAAUCUGGGCAGUAGGCCUUAUUAAUAACUUGGGCUGAGUUUUAGCAUAAAGAAGCACCUGGCCCAGUGGCUAAGCACGCUAGGAGGCCGUGGGAAGUGCUUGGGUUCAAGGCACGGCAGCAUAAAUUGGGUUUUUUUUUUAGUAUGCGAGUUGCGGUUGGAAUAGGCCUUAAAGGAAGUUGCGAAUGAAGUUUGACAUAAGGAGAGCACUGUAUGGCAAUGGCAAGCAACGUAUGUGUGUGUUUAAGAGGUCGCAGUUCGAGAUGUACAGUAGGCAAAAAUUUCCUUUUGUUUCAUAAAGUAACCUGAGCUUCAGCAGUAAGGUUUAUAAUUAAUUGUGACCGUAUAUAAGUAAAGAGAGAAGCAUGGUGCAGUGGCUGCAAAGACAGGCGAAGGCACAAGGCGGACGGAGGUUUGGGGUUCGAGCCUCACCUCGAGCACGGAAGGCUUUGAUUUUUGCUGCUCACGUGGGGGAGAGUCAGAGUUUGACCGAAACUCUCCUAGCCAUGGCUUGAGUCGGUCAAGCGGUGGACUGCAGCUGAUAGUGCAAGGAAGUUGGAUAGGAUUUAAAUUGGUGGGGGCUGAAAUUUAGGAGAAAAGUAUGGAAUUUAAAUUUGGGAAGGAAUUUAUGUCAAAAUAAGAUUUAUGGCAGAGUACCAAUUCGGCUAUAGGCAAUUAAAUGCCGAAAAAACUCUUAAAAUUUUGGUGUUAGUCUUGGGUAUUUUUAAGUAACUAAUAGAUUUAGGUUGGGGCCAUUCAUAUCUACGGUUAUUUUUGAGAUCGACCUUCAUUGUUUCUCCUCUCUUCUCUCCUCUCUUGCAUUCAUAUUUUCUUUUCUCCAUAGCCGAACCCAUACUCCUUUCUUUCUAUCUUUUCCCUUAUUUUUCUUUCUUCAUUAUUUCUCAAAAGUGAAUCUUGCUAUAGCCGAAUCUCUAUCCUUUUCCUUUUUCUUUCAAAAGCGAAAACCUUCAUAUCUGGGUGUAGGAAGUCAAUCAUUGGCUACUUGAACUGUCUCUUCCGACUAUGGUAGAUCGGGAUUAGAAUCAUAGAUAAGAGCACUCUCUUGGGCGAACAACGAUUGGUAAGUAUUGAAUCACUUGUGUUAGUUAUUCAUGGUUUAAGAUAAAAGCCGAAACCCCUUAAGGGUGGCUAACGUUUGGACUAAGGGUGUUGGUGCUUUUUUCUUUUUCAUUGUAUAAGCAUUAGCGUGGACAAGGGGGCAUGCAGUGAAGGGUGUGAAGACUGAUUCGGAUUGGAUCUCUAGAUCUAAUCCAUAUUUAACAAAAAGGUAAGAACUCUAGGGUAAGGGAUGUUGGUGAAUUUGGUAAGGGGAAUAGUCGUAGUUUGUUUUCGGCAUGUAGACUGACGUUUAGUAACUUGAUUGUAGGAAACUCGUGAGUGGAUCGCGCCAGCGUACCGUUACAAAUCAGAUGUGUAAACGACACCCACUCAUAGACUAGAUCGGUAAAAGCCGAAAAGCCGAAAAGCAGACAUUUAUGAACUUGCGAGCGUGCGAGCACUUGUGAGGUGGUUUGGUUGUUAAUUUUGAUAAUCGCAAGCAGUAUGAUUGCAGAGUGCAUAAUUUCGUGCACUUCGGUAUAUUUGGGCUUAAUGGGCCGAAAAUAGGUUAGUGGGCCAAUGGGCCCGAUUCGGUAAAAACUCUCGGUAAGUGCUUCUGUUAAUGUGUUAAUGGUUAGAAUAUGUAUGUAAACUUUGGAAUAGUAAAUUUUAUUAAACUACCCUUAAGUAGGAAAAUUAUCGUUUUACCCCUAGGUGCUAAAUGACCGUUAUACCCCUAGGGUUAAUUUUGACUGAAAUACAUGAUAUUCGAUUCAUUUGUUAUAUGCCAUGACAUGUAUAUCAUUGCAUGGGGUUGGGUUUUGUUAUGGAGGAAGAACCUGUUCGGUGGUCGUGCCACAUAUUACGAUAUAAGCGACUUUUGCGGAUUAUAGUUAGUGCAUAAUCGGUGCUAACACCGUAAGUGUAGGGAUGGCGUGGGUGAUUUAUUCCCACGUGAAGUGUAGGAUGGACGGAGGCAAGUGCAGGGUUGGAUGGGGUUAUCAUGCAUUAAUCAUAUGAGACUGUUUUAUUAUGGGCCAACUGUAUUAAAAUGGGCCCAACUGUGUUAAUAUGGGCAAGACCCAAUAUAUCUCGACUUGUAAUAGGGCUACGGCCCAGACUGAUACUGAUAUGGGCUAGGCCCAGUAUGCUCUGAUAUUGUAAUAGGGCUAUGGCCCAGAUUAAUAUUGAUAUGGGCUAAGGCCCAGUUAACACUGAUUUCUGAAUAGGGCUUAGGCCCAGUAAGGCUUGAAUUGAUUUGGGCUCUGGUUGGGAUACUUUACACACUGAGUUUUCCAAACUCACCCUCUUUCUCUUCCAUCCUUGCAGGUGAGCCCUAGUUGGUGGACUUGGAGCUGGGCGGGAUUCAGAGUGGCCACGAAUAUUAAGUUUCUGUUUUCUUUAAAAUAAGUUUCGCAUUUAUUAUUUUGAUUAUUUUCUGGUUUAAGUUGUAAUAAGGCCUCUCUUUUUAUUAUUUUUAAUAUUUUGGGUUAUUAAAUUGGUUAACUCUAGGGCGCGUUUUAUAAAAGUUACUUAUUUUCAAAA